rnacentral:rRNA from 1 species
GACGAACGCUGGCGGCGUGCUUAACACAUGCAAGUCGAACGGUAAGGCCCUAUCGGGCGUGCGCACUCGGCGAACGGGCGGGUAACUCGUGAGUAACCUGCCCUCACUUCAGGGUUAACAGUCGGUAACGGUUGCUAACACUGGAUAUGUGCUUGCAUGCUACCUUGUGGGUUGGAAGGAUUUUUUUGGUUGGGGAUAGACUCCCGGCCUAUCAGCUUGUUGGUGAGGUAGUGGGUCCUCAAGGCUUCGGCGGGUAUCCCGCCUUGGAGGGGGACCGGGCACAUUGGGACUGGGAUAAGGCCCAAGCUCCUACGGGGGGCAGCAGGGGGGAAUAUUGCACAAUGGACGGAAGUCUGAUGCAGCAACGCCGCGGGCGGGAUGACGGCCUUCGGGUUGUAAACCGCUUUCAAGUGUGACGAAGCUUUUUGUGACGGUAGCAGUAGAAGAAGCACCGGCUAACUACGUG